rnacentral:lncRNA from 7 species
GCAUUUCAUCAGUGCUCUGCACAACUUCUCUUGUUGUGGGUGAUGCAUGUAAUUAGGAGGAGGAGGGAACAGGCUUGCUGCUGCUAAUGGGGAGGAGGAAUCUUCUGUACCUGGCACUAGCUGUCUGCCUACACCUGUAUCUCUUACCUUCAAAGAUAUCACUUCCUAAAAGGAUAUAGAAACCUAAAGAAAAUUGCCUAGCAGGGAGAGUUUGAGUUUGAACUCUCCCCUCAACGAGAUCUUUGAAGUUUGGGUCUUCAAAUCUGUUCUCCACUCCAAAGAACUACUAGCACAGCUGUCAUCCCUCUCCUUCUGAGACACGCUGGACCAGGAUCCCUUCAGAGGCCAUUAAAGCUGUUGUUUCACCCUCUGGAGAGGUCGGGAGGGAAUAGCUUGAGACAUUAGUCCCUGCCUCUCCUCCAGCAGCUGAGCAAGCUGUGGAAGUUGUGUGACAUGAAACGUGAUUCAAUCUCUGAGCAGCGCGGAGUGGCCGCAGGACUCGGCAGCGAGGGAUCCUUGUGCACGCAGCAGAGGGGAGGAGGAACAAGUGCCAGUUAGGAGCUAAUUAAUAUUUGCGAGUAACAAUGUGCUACUGGUAUUUUUAUGGCCUCUGUCACAGUAGCGUCUCAGCGUCUCGCAGGCAUUUAUGGAUUUAUUCUGAGAACGUUCCUGUGAGGUAGGAAACAUUAUUACCUGCGUUUUACAGACUGAGCUGAGGCACAUUGAGAUAAAGGUUGCAGGAGGAGUCUGUUGCACCGCCAGCAGUCAAACUCUGAUUGCCAACAACUUGUUUAUUGUCCUAAUCACAAACCCAGCUACCUGUCUUUUUCCUUUCCCUUUUUUCCCCUCUUUCUUUUCUUCCUGGUCUGAUGAUUAGCAGAAACAAUCUGCAAAUGGCUGGGACGACCUCUGGAAAAUAUGAUUAGGUUUCCUGCUGUCCUUUUUUAACACUGUUACUUAUGAGUUAAAAUGCCUUUCUAAAAAUAUCAGCAGAUCUGUUUAUGUUAAAUGAUUAACAUGUUUAGACUUUCAACAGAUAAGCUGUCAUGCUUCUUUUUGAGUCAGUAACUCCUUUAUCCUACCUGUCUGGGCUUGUGGCUGUUGCAUUCUUACCUGCCUAAGCUAAUGCCAUCCCAAUCACCUAAAGCAAUGCCAAGAAUUUCAUCAUCCAUGCAAAGACGGGAUUCAUGUCAAGGCAGGUAUAAAGUUUCUCAAGCACAUUUAGGUAUAAUUACUGUUUAACUUUAUUUUUCAGAGGUCUUUUCAAGCCAGUUAAAAUGUUCACCUUUUGAGCUCCCAGAUAUUCUCCUAGAAAUUGGAUUUCAGUGCCUGAUUAGCGAUGCUGAUCCCUUUCAAAAGUAUUUCAAAGUUUGAUGUGUGUGCGCACUGAAUUGUAAUUUACAUCAUAAAAUCAAAUGUAAUGAAUAACAGCUUGAAGAAAUACACUUUUUUUCUUCAAAUAAGGAAAUUUUAAGAUGGGUUUCCCUCGAGCCCUUCUUUCACCUCAGGUUGUUAUUUAAAGUGUGACUUUACUGCCUUUUCUUAGAGCUGCAUGAGCAUAACAAAUUAUGAAGACAUAGGCAGGCUCUCACAAUUAAAUAUUUUUAUUGUCUAUUAAAAUAAGCAACAUUAUUAAAAUGAUAACAUUG